ACUCCUACGGGAGGCAGCAGUAGGGGAUAUUGCACAAUGGAGGAAACUCUGAUGCAGCAACGCCGCGUGAGGGAAGAAGGUUUUCGGAUUGUAAACCUCUGUCCUCAGGGACGAUAAUGACGGUACCUGAGGAGGAGAGCUCCGGCUAACUACGUGCCAGCAGCCGCGGUAAU
rnacentral:rRNA from 1 species